rnacentral:rRNA from 1 species
UACAGAGGGGGCAAGCGUUGUUCGGAAUUACUGGGCGUAAAGCGUGCGCAGGCGGUUUUGCAAGACAGAUGUGAAAUCCCCGGGCUCAACCUGGGAAUUGCAUUUGUGACUGCACGGCUAGAGUGUGUCAGAGGGGGGUAGAAUUCCACGUGUAGCAGUGAAAUGCGUAGAGAUGUGGAGGAAUACCGAUGGCGAAGGCAGCCCCCUGGGAUAACACUGACGCUCAUGCACGAAAGCGUGGGGAGCAAACAGG